rnacentral:lncRNA from 1 species
GGAAAAUGGUUUUAUUGCACAAAGUAAAAAACAAAGAGUUACAUAAUAAAUACAUUUUUUGGUGGUAAAAAUGACAAAAUAUCACAUUUAUUGCACAUGAUAUUUGCUGCAAUUAAUUUGUUUAAAUAUUGGAUUUUUAUACCUAUAAGAUGGAAUAAUCAAAAUGUAGUGAAACAUGGAUUUGUUCAUUUUAGCAGAUGAUACAAAAUAAAAUAAAAUAUAACAAUGGUUCAUAUAUAUCUGCAUACAAUCUUAAAGAAUAAAGAACAGUGUACCUGCAAUUAAUUUAAAAGGUUCUUUUUGUUUUGAAUAGUAUUAAAAUAUAAUUAAAAAUAUCUUUUCAAAACUGAUAUACUUCUUUUCUGAAAUCUGUGUCUAGUUUAAGCUGAAUAAUGUAUAGAACAACCAAUUAGGGAACAACCCGGAAGAAAAAAUAGUAUAUAAAUCACACACAACAAUUUUUACACAGGGCUUUCAAAAUAUGUAAAAUAUAUGGAAAUUGUAGGUAUAAAAUGUGGUUUCGACAUGAAAUGAUUGUCACUUUGUUUAAAUAAAUGGCUUUGAAAGAAGAAAACAAUGGAGUCUUGAAUUAGUAGUUUGGUAACUGAUUGUCAGAAAAUUAAUUAACAAAAUACUAAACAAUAAAAUAGAUAUAUUAAGAAGAUGUGGUAUGGGUGCCAAUGAAUAAACUCUCCAUCCAAGUCACAAUGUGUAAAACAGUUGGUGAAAAUUUGUUGCAUUCAAACUAGUAUCAGUUCAGGUUUUGGUCACUGAAUUGUUUAUUGUGUGGUUUAAAGACCAGUUUGAAUGUAACACAUACACUCUCAGUAUGUGAGUCAACAACAUAAUUAUUUAUGAGUUAUCACCCCUUAAUCUGAGAUAAACACAUGAAAUUUACAUAAUGUAAAUAUAGAUAAUAAUUUGAUAUUGAUUAAAUAUCAUGAACUUAUUUUAACUUGAAGCUUUGUAAUUGUGAUAUGGAAAAAAAAUAAAAAUAUGUCAACACAUUCAGACAGUAACUUUACAAUUAAAAUAAAUAAACAGUUUGUUUUAAAUAAAAUUGCCUGAUUAAAGGAGAUAGACACCUAAUAUUUCUUAUGUCUUUACAAUUACAACACAGAAGUGUCAUUUAUGAAAUUUGGCAAGAAAACAGUAAAAUACAUUAUUGAUAAAUCAAAUCAGACUUUGACACAUACAUGCACAUUGAUAAAAGCUCUCAUCUACACAUACACAUAAACACAUCAAUCAACAAAACAAUG